UACGAAGGGGGCUAGCGUUGCUCGGAAUCACUGGGCGUAAAGGGUGCGUAGGCGGGUCUUUAAGUCAGGGGUGAAAUCCUGGAGCUCAACUCCAGAACUGCCUUUGAUACUGAAGAUCUUGAGUUCGGGAGAGGUGAGUGGAACUGCGAGUGUAGAGGUGAAAUUCGUAGAUAUUCGCAAAGAACACCAGUGGCGAAGGCGGCUCACUGGCCCGAUACUGACGCUGAGGCACGAAAGCGUGGGGAGCAACAGGG
rnacentral:rRNA from 1 species